AUUGAACGCUGGCGGCAUGCCUUACACAUGCAAGUCGAACGGCAGCACGGGAGUAAUCCUGGUGGCGAGUGGCGAACGGGUGAGUAAUGUAUCGGAACGUGCCCAGUCGUGGGGGAUAACGCAGCGAAAGCUGUGCUAAUACCGCAUACGAUCUAUGGAUGAAAGCGGGGGAUCGCAAGACCUCGCGCGAUUGGAGCGGCCGAUAUCAGAUUAGCUAGUUGGUGGGGUAAAAGCUUACCAAGGCGACGAUCUGUAGCUUGUCUGAGAGGACGACCAGCCACACUGGAACUGAGACCCGGUGCAGACUCCUACGGGAGGCAGCAGGGGGGAAUUUUGGACAAUGGGCGCAAGCCUGAUCCAGCAAUGCCGCGUGCAGGAUGAAGGCCUUCGGGUUGCAAACUGCUUUUGUACGGAGCGAAAAGGCUCUCUCUAAUACGGGGGGCUCAUGACGGUACCGUAAGAAUAAGCACCGGCUAACUACGUGCCAGCCGCCGCAGUAA
rnacentral:rRNA from 1 species